rnacentral:rRNA from 1 species
UUAAAUUGAAGAGUUUGAUCAUGGCUCAGAUUGAACGCUGGCGGCAGGCCUAACACAUGCAAGUCGAACGGUAACAGGAAGCAGCUUGCUGCUUCGCUGACGAGUGGCGGACGGGGGAGUAAUGUCUGGGAAACUGCCUGAUGGAGGGGGAUAACUACUGGAAACGGUAGCUAAUACCGCAUAACGUCGCAAGACCAAAGAGGGGGACCUUCGGGCCUCUUGCCAUCGGAUGUGCCCAGAUGGGAUUAGCUAGUAGGUGGGGUAACGGCUCACCUAGGCGACGAUCCCUAGCUGGUCUGAGAGGAUGACCAGCCACACUGGAACUGAGACACGGUCCAGACUCCUACGGGAGGCAGCAGUGGGGAAUAUUGCACAAUGGGCGCAA